rnacentral:rRNA from 1 species
UAAUAGCGUAUAUUAAAGUUGUUGCAGUUAAAAAGCUCGUAGUUGGAUUUCUGGUGGGAGCGAUCGGUCUGGCGCUUAGCGCGAGUACUUGCAUCGUCUCCGGCCAUCCUUGGGGAGAGUCUGUCUGGCAUUAGGUUGUCGGGCAGAGGAUCCUCAUCGUUUACUGUGAAAAAAUUAGAGUGUUCAAAGCAGGCUUAUGCCGUUGAAUAUAUUAGCAUGGAAUAAUAAGAUAGGACUUUGGUACUAUUUUGUUGGUUUGCGCACCAAAGUAAUGAUUAAUAGGGACAGUUGGGGGUAUUCGUAUUCCGUUGUCAGAGGUGAAAUUCUUGGAUUUACGGAAGACGAACUACUGCGAAAGCAUUUACCAAGGAUGUUUUCAUUAA